rnacentral:rRNA from 1 species
UGAAUUGCAGAAUUCCGUGAAUCAUCGAAUCUUUGAACGCAACUUGCGCCCGAGGCUUUUGCCGAGGGCAUGCCUGCUUGAGCGUCU